rnacentral:rRNA from 1 species
AGAGUUUGAUCCUGGCUCAGGACGAACGCUGGCGGCGUGCCUAACACAUGCAAGUCGUACGCGGUGGCAACACCGAGUGGCGAACGGGUGCGUAACACGUGAGGAACCUACCCCGAAGUGGGGGAUAACACCGGGAAACCGGUGCUAAUACCGCAUACGCUCCCCGGACCGCAUGGUCCAGGGAGCAAAGCCUCCGGGCGCUUCGGGACGGCCUCGCGGCCUAUCAGCUUGUUGGUGGGGUAACGGCCCACCAAGGCGACGACGGGUAGCUGGUCUGAGAGGACGAUCAGCCACACUGGGACUGAGACACGGCCCAGACUCCUACGGGAGGCAGCAGUGGGGAAUAUUGCGCAAUGGGCGAAAGCCUGACGCAGCAGCGCCGCGUGGAGGACGAAGGCCUUCGGGUUGUAAACUCCUUUCAGCAGGGACGAAACUGACGGUACCCGCAGAAGAAGCCCCGGCUAACUACGUGCCAGCAGCCGCGGUAAGACGUAGGGGGCGAGCGUUGUCCGGAUUUACUGGGCGUAAAGAGCUCGUAGGCGGCUUGGCAAGUCGGAUGUGAAAUCACCAGGCUCAACCUGGUGUCGCCAUCCGAUACUGCCAUGGCUUCGAGUCCGGUAGAGGACCGUGGAAUUCCUGGUGUAGCGGUGAAAUGCGCAGAUAUCAGGAGGAACACCGAUGGCGAACGCAGCGGUCUGGGCCGGCACUGACGCUGAGGAGCGUAAGCGUGGGGAGCAA